GAUGAACGCUGGCGGCGUGCCUAAUACAUGCAAGUCGAGCGAACGGACGAGAAGCUUGCUUCUCUGAUGUUAGCGGCGGACGGGUGAGUAACACGUGGAUAACCUACCUAUAAGACUGGGAUAACUUCGGGAAACCGGAGCUAAUACCGGAUGAUAUUUUGAACCGCAUGGUUCAAAAGUGAAAGACGGUCUUGCUGUCACUUAUAGAUGGAUCCGCGCUGCAUUAGCUAGUUGGUAAGGUAACGGCUUACCAAGGCAACGAUGCAUAGCCGACCUGAGAGGGUGAUCGGCCACACUGGAACUGAGACACGGUCCAGACUCCUACGGGAGGCAGCCGUAGGGAAUCUUCCGCAAUGGGCGAAAGCCUGACGGAGCAACGCAGCGUGAGUGAUGAAGGUCUUCGGAUCGUAAAACUCUGUUAUUAGGGAAGAACAUAUGUGUAAGUAACUGUGCACAUCUUGACGGUACCUAAUCAGAAAGCCACGGCUAACUACGUG
rnacentral:rRNA from 1 species